UAAAUUUUGGUUUUUAUUUAAUUUAAUCAUGAAAAAUAAAGAAUAAAGAAAAGAAUAUUAUGUUGUGGUAAUUAUUUUUAAUGUCUAGUGGAUUGGGGUGCCGCACUCCUCGUUAUUUCCAAUAUGCAGUGGAUCGGCGGUGACCGCUUCUUCACUUCUCUGUGGCACCACUUCAAUGACUAAAACUGAAUCCUUUGAGCUAUAGAGCAACGCCUGGUGUCACUAAAAAGCUAGAAUAUUGAAAAAUGGAGGUUGUAUCUGCAACUUUCCGAUUGUGGAUGGUAACUUUUUGAUGCCACAAUGAGCAAAACCGAGCACUUUCAGAUUCAAGAGUUCACCAAUAGCAGAACAAUCAAACAUCAAUAGGCACCGAUGGAGAAUGAUUGUUUGUAGCUUGGUGGAGCAUUCAAGUGAUCUGGGAAGCAAUGAAUACUGAAUUUUUUCAUAUGCUACAACUUCAAGAUUUUCCAUUUUUUCAUAAAAACCUUGAGAAAACUUAGACGACUUAUCUCCAUCCAUAAGUCUCAAAAGUGACAAGUUUAGGUACUUAGAGUCACCAGGAAACUCACAUUCCUGUGCAAGUAAUAGAAACUCUUUUGCAAGAAUCUUAGACAUUCCUGUGCAAGUAAUAGAAACUCUUUUGCAAGAAUCUUACAACUGGGAUAUAUCUUUUCCUUCACAAAAUAUGCAAGGAACAUGAAUACUAUAAUGAAGCAACUGGAUGGUACAAUCCUUGAUGUCAAAAAGCAAAUGGAAAGAAAAAAAUUAGUAAUUUGGAGAUACCUGCUCGUAUACGUGGUUGGUUGGAAGAAGUCGAAAAGACCAAAGAAAAAGCUAAAAGCAUUUCAAGUAUUGGGAAUGGAUGUUUUAACUUGAAAAUGAGGCAUCAAGCAGGAAGGAAUGCAUUCAAAAUCACAAAGGAGAUGAAAAGUUUUAUUGAUGAAAACACAAUAAGAUAACUUGGAGUGAUGCUCAAAGACCUCGUGGGAAAGUAAACUCGAAAGAUAAAAGGUAUUUGAUGAUGUAUGGGAGACGAUUGAACUCAAAGAUAUUGAACCGAGUCGUUUGCCCAACGGCUUCAAGUUGUUGCUGACAUCACGAAAUGAAAAUAUUUGCAAACAAAUUGCAAUAGAAGCUAAUUCGGAUUCGACACUAGUUCGAGUGGAUGUGAUGGAGGAGUUUAAAGCACACAAUUUCUUUUGGCAAAUCACAGGAGUUUCAAAACAACAUGAUAUGGAGCUCAAUCAAAUAGGAAGUGAAAUUGUGAGAAGAUGUGUUUUUUUGCCCCUUUUCAUUAAACUCAUCGCCAAAACCCUUCAAUUUCAAUAAGUUUUUGCAUGGAAAUAUACUUUUCAACGGUUGAAGAAGAAGAAUCUUGAUGAGAAUGUGCAAGAAGUUAUUAAGAUAAGCUAUAACUAUAUAAAACUAGAGGAGGAAAAGGUGAUUUUUCUUCUGUGUGGCUUGUUUCCUGAUGACUUUAAUAUUUCAAUCAAGGAACUCACAAGAUAUGCAUGGGGCCUACAGUUAUUAAGUAAAGUAUCUACUUUGGGAGAGCCUAGAGACACGACAAAAACAUGUGUGUAGAAUCUUAGAAAUGCAAAUUUAUUGACGAAUAGCGAUUACAUUGGGUGUGUCAAAAUGCAUGAUCUUGUGCUUGCUUUUGUGUUGAGUAGAGUUUCUAAUGGUGACCAGGCAUGGAUAAUCAACCAUGGUGAUAUUUCAAAGUGGAGUAGAGCUGAAGUGGAAGAUUCUUGGCUUCUUGGAAAAGAGUUUCUAUAACUUGCACAGGAAUGUCUGAGUUUCCUGAGUACCCAAACUUGUCACUUUUGAGACUUAUGGAUGGAGAUAAGUUGCUUAAGUUUUCUCAAGGUUUUUAUGAAAGAAUGGAAAAUCUUGAAGUUGUAGCAUAUGAAAAAAAUUCAGUAUCCAUUGUUUCCCAGAUUACUUGAAUGCUCCACCAAGCUACGAACACUCAUUCUCCAUCAGUGCCUAUUGAUGUUUGAUUGCUCUGCUAUUGGUGAAUUCUUGAAUUUGGAAGUGCUCAGUUUUCCUCAUUGUGGCGUCAGAAAGUUACCAUCCACAAUUGGAAAGUUGAAGAACCUAAAGCUACUGGAUUUUACAGGGUGUCUUAAUCUUCGUAUUGAUGAUGGUGUCUUGAUAAAUUUGUUCGAGCUUGAAGAGCUUUAUAUGAGAGUUGCUUAUGGAAAGGAUAUUUGCUUCAGAGACAACAAUCAUGAUAUUGUAAUUGAGCAAGCUAUUGCAGAAUAAAUGUGUAAUCAAAUUUCAGGGGCUAAAGUUUCUAUCUUUGAAGAAGCUAUCAGAGUUGAUAGGUUUUAGCAACAAUGAUAGUGUAAUUGAGCUACCACAGCUGUUGGAGUUGAGACUUAAAGGCCUUCCUAAUUUCACAAGUAACAUCUUCUAUGUCCAGUAAUGUCUCUGCAGUUCAACCUUUCUUUUACAAACAGAUGCUGAUUCCUAAGUUAGUGAUAUUGCACUCUUUCAAAAAAAAGUUAGGGAUAUUGCAAAUUCAUAGUAUGGAUAUGUUGAAAGAGAUAUGACCUUAUCAAUUUAGUAGUAGUGACGAAGUUAAUGCCUACAUGUUGCAAAUUCAUAGUAUGGAUAUCUUGUGAAUUUGUUUUUAACCAAUCCCAUGUCUUUGCUUGGUCGUCUGGAAGAGCUUCAUGUUUCUGAAUGUGGAAGCAUUGAAGUCUUAUCUGACAUGGACGUGAGUUGUAUUGAUGAAAUUGAAGAAUUCAGUAGCAAGUUGAAGCACAUUAAAGUAUAUAAGGUUAGAUAAGCUAAGAGAGUUGUGGAGUAUGAAAGGGGAAAGUAGCUCUGAUAACCUCAUUCGUAGCUUUCAAAAUGUUGAAAGUAUAGAAAUAAAAAGGUGUGAGAGGUUUGUAAACGUAUUCACACCUACUGUCUCCAAAUAUGAUGUGAGAACCCUUAUGAAUGUGAGUAUAGAUGGUAGGAGACCUUGUGAAGCAAGCAGGAGAAACAUUGAAUUUGCUCCGGAAAGCCAGGAGAAAAAUGGGUCGUUUUCCCAAAAGAAAAGAAAAGGGGUGAACCUAAUAGAGGAUGAAGGUGCAUUGAAUAAUAAUCCAUUGAUGAAACUUUCUUUAGCUCAUACUGGGCAAGAAACAAAAGAAAAGGGGUGAACCUAAAGACAAAAUGGAGAAAACAUUAAAGACAAAAGCAAAAAUAGGAGAUAGAGAUGAGGGUUUGCAUGCCACCAAUGGCAAGAUAACGACAAAGAAUGGAGGAUAUUUGGUGUCUCUGAGAAGAAGAUUAGAAGAAAAGAAAAUAGGGGAUCAAUUGGAGACCCCAAUGAAUGUUUUUGAUACGCUUCCUAGUGAUUUUUGUUUCCAUGGAGAUUGUUGGUGGUAUGUCCUACCUUUUUGAAUCAUUUAUCAGAUUCAUACUUGCUUGUGUUUGAUACUUCUAUGAAGAUUGGUGAGAAUAUUGUGCUCAUUGAUGCUUCUUCUCGGUAUCAUAAGAGAUCAGAUACAUGGCAUGUGGUUAUGGAAAUAUAUGGUAUAUAUAUAUAUAUAUAUAUAUAUAUAUAUAUAUAUAUAUAUAUAUAGUGCAAGUUAGGGUAAUAGCCACAAAAAAAAUGAUGGUAACAUGUUUGAUUUUGCUUUGAACUAAGAAUGUUGCAAAAACUCGUUACUCGUGUGACUUCAUCCACCUGAAAAUAGAUCAGAUUUGAGCAUCUUGAUAAUUCUUAUAAGGAACAAUGAUGAGAAGGCAACUGAUCAGCUUAGAAGAUACCCUGAUUAUUGAAAAUUUUCUUCAUCAUCUUGAUUAUGAAAUAGGAAUAAGACAAAACAACCAUGUGAAAAAUAGAACUAAUCUCUUCUUCUUUCUGAAUCAAAAGCGGGAUGAUGAGUUGGGUUCAUUGCAAGACACACACAUCAGAGGUGUUUGGGUAUUGGGCAACAAGGGACCAAUGAAAGUAUCAGGCUAGUUUAGGGUUUUUAGAAACCUGCAAAAAUAGUGGUAAAGAUAUGUAAAUACCCCAUAACAGUUUUGUAUGGCCCACUUAGCAUUGGUCCAGUGAAGGAAUUCCGUAUGUACCAGGUUGAACUCCUCACAUUUCGGUUCCAUAGGCAUAUUGAUUGCAAGUGAAGAAUUGAGCAAAGAAAAUGAGAGAAAUGCUUUGAUCUUCAUUUCUGUAUUGGAUCGGUUAACUACAACUAUGGAACUGUUACAAAAUAUAUACAGAAGAAAGAAGAAAGAGAAGCCUCUAACUAAUAUAACCGACUAACAACAAUUACAUGAGAGACAUGCGAUCUAACUAACAAGCAACUAACUCAAGCUAACUAACUAAAUAUAACUAACACCCCGCUCUCAAGUGGAGGGUGAGUAAAUCCCAAUUUGUUUAAUAAAGUGUAUUGUUGCUUGCUUGGAAGGUUCUUUGUGAACAAAUCAGGUAUAUGGUCUUGUGUAGGAACAUGUUGCAGAGAUAUAAGCCCAUCUUGUAAUUUUUGGCAAUGUAUAUUGCAACAUGUGGUCUAACUCCACAUGUUUGGUUCUUUCAUGAAUUAUGGGGUUUUUGGCAAUAUAUAUUACUUGACUGUCGAUCACAACGAACUCGAACAAGAGUGACAUUAGGAACUCCAAUUUCAUGAAGUAAUCGAGUUAAUCAAGCAAGUUCAGCUGUGAGUCUUUGCAUACUUCUAUAUUCUGCUUCAGCGGAUGAUAAAGAAACAAUUAUUUGGUUCUUUGACUUCCAUGCAGUUGGGCUGUUUCCAAGAAGAACAACAAAACCACUAACACUUCUUCUAGAUUGAGGACAAGAAAUUGUUUGAGAUUUGAUAUUUCUUCUUCUUUGUUUCCUGUGAUCAUUAAAUCAUCAACAUAGACUGCCGUAAAUUUUUUAAAUGAACCAAUUGUUUUGUGAAAAAGAGAGUAAUCAUUUUUGGAGUGUUGAUAACCUCUUUCAUUCAAGGCAAAAUAUAAUUUUACAUACCAUUGUCAAGAUGCUUGUUUCAAUCCAUACAAUGAUUUUUGAAGUUUGCACACUUGAUGUGGGUUGGAUAAUUGAAGUCCUAGAGGUGGCUUCAUGUAAAUUUCUUCGUCCAAGUCACCAUUUAGAAAAAUCAUUGUGGACAUCUAGUUGAAACAUUGGCCAUGAUUUCUUGACAGCUAUACCAAAAAGAGCUCGAAUUGUUGUCAUUUUGGCAACAGGAGAAAAAGUUUCAGUAUAAUCAAUGCCUUCCUUUUGAGUAAACCCUUUAAUAACAAAUAUUCCUUUGCAUCUUUCUACAUCCCCAUUGGCUUUAUAUUUUACUUUAUAAAACCAUUUACAACUAAUGGGUUUAUUGCCUUUGGGAAGAUCCAUAAUUUUCCAAGUGUUAUUAGCCUCUAUCAGCUCUGUUUUCUUUCGGCUUCAACGAUCAACCCUUCAUGUAGCACCCUCUUUAAUCCCCUUGUUACUGUUAUAGAUAUAUCAGCUUUGAUCGAUUCACGUUUCAUUACUAGUUAUUGAAUAAGUCUUUCGGAAAGGGAGGAAUAGCAUUAUAUUUUACUGGUACGUGUUUUUUUAGCUUUUGUUCAGCUCAAUACAUAUAGGAAUAUCUUUCAAUAAAGUGUCACGACUAUUUUUGAUCAGUAAAUUAGGGUACAUGUUUGUCUAGUAGUACUAAUUUCAACAGUUACAUCCUCUACCUUCAAUCUCUUGAUUACAUGCUAAAAGAGAAACACCAGCGAUCGAACCUUUUUAGGGGCAUGCCAUUCUUAGCAAAAUUGAAUCCGAAAAAAACAAUUGACAUAGCACCUGCCGCCUUCGCUUAUUGCAAUACAAAUAAAACAACCCCUAAUCGUCUGAUUGGGAAUGUGGC